rnacentral:rRNA from 1 species
AGCAGUCGCCGCGGGAAAACAGAGGAUGCAAGCGUUAUCCGGAAUGAUUGGGCGUAAAGCGUCUGUAGGUGGCCAUUUAAGUCCGCUGUGAAAGCCAAAGGCUCAACCUUUGAAAGCCGGUGGAUACUGGAUGGCUAGAGUACGGAAGAGGCGAGUGGAAUUCCUGGUGUAGCGGUGGAAUGCGCAGAUAUCAGGAGGAACACCAAUAGCGAAGGCAGCUCGCUGGGACGUUACUGACACUGAGGCGCGAAAGCGUGGGGAGCGAACAGGAUUAGAUACCCCUGUAGUCCCUGUCUCUUAUAA